rnacentral:rRNA from 1 species
CGACGUAGGGGGCAAGCGUUGCUCGGAAUCACUGGGCUUAAAGGGCGCGUAGGCGGUUAUGCAAGUCCGAGGUUGAAGGCCCCGGCUCAACCGGGGAAAGGCCUUGGAAACUGCAUGACUUGAGCGAGCGAGGGGAGGGCGGAAUUCCCGGUGUAGCGGUGAAAUGCGUAGAUAUCGGGAGGAAGGCCUGUGGCGAAGGCGGCCCUCUGGCGCUUAGCUGACGCUGAGGCGCGAAAGCGUGGGGAGCAAACAGGAUUAGAAACCCUAGUAGUCC